CAUCUCGCCGGUGACCAAGGCGAUCCUGGUGGCCCUGUUCAUCUUCGCCAUCCUGCUCAUCCUGUACGUGAUCCUCUGGUACAUCUGCCGCGAUGUGGACUGCGACCACGGCAUCUGAGCGCCCCCCGCGCCCCCCGCGCCGGCCGGGGGUGGGGGCCCCGCGGCCCGGCGGCGGCGACCCCUGCCCGUGACCUUCAGGGGCGGACGGCGGAGCGGGACCCCUGCAGGGACAGAGAGCUGCGAUGGCUGCAGAACCGUGUUCCCCUGCCCUGCAGAUCCGAGCCAAGAAGUGGUGAGAACAUCCCCGUCGGUGACCCGCCGCCGGCCGGCAGCCCCAUGUGGACGCUCGGGUGCCUGGACGUCCCCGGUCAGCCACCGUCCGGAGACCGCCUGCCGGCCAGCAUGCCGUCCCCGCCGCCCCCGGGGCUGAGCGGUGGGGGUGGGCACCACGGAGGAACAAGGCCAUCGCCCGCCACGCAUCUUGUGAAGCCAUCGCCAGGCGGCCCGGACUCCUGGGCAGCGUCACCUCGGGGGCCAUGCUGACAUCUGUAACCUCCAUCCACCCUUGUGGUCCCAUCCAGCCAUCCCUGCCCUCCCGCCUGGCCCAGUCCGUUGUGACGUUUCCAUGAGCUUUCCUUCGUGCACGGUCGUCAUUCACAGGGGUUCGGACGCCCAGCGGCAGGGGUGCAGGUACCUGCGUGGCCAGAGCAGCCCAGAGGACAACCAGCUUCCGACCACGCCAUCGUCGACCUAGGUGCACGCGGGGCCUGACCACGUCAUCUCAGACGCAGCCCCGAUGCCCCGAUGCCCC